CCUGGUAACAAGUACUAUCGCACUGUCUGCGAGGCUACAACUCGCCGCUUGCUACUCAGCCAUGCUACCC
rnacentral:tRNA from 1 species